GGGCCCGCACAAGCGGCGGAGCAUGUGGUUUAAUUCGAUGCAACGCGAAAAAACCUUACCUACUCUUGACAUACUUGGAAGCUCUUGUAAUGAGAGUGUGCCUUUUGGAACCAAGAUACAGGUGCUGCAUGGCUGUCGUCAGCUCGUGUCGUGAGAUGUUCCGUUAAGUCGGAUAACGAGCGCAACCCUUACCCUUAUUUGCCAGCGAUUCGGUCGGGAACUAUAAGGGGACUGCCGGUGAUAAACCGGAGGAAGGUGAGGACGACGUCAAGUCAUCAUGGCCCUUACGAGUAGGCUACACACGUGCUACAAUGGGGAAUACAGACGGACGCUAAGCCGCGAGGUGGUGCUAA
rnacentral:rRNA from 1 species